rnacentral:rRNA from 1 species
GUGGGGAAUCUUAGACAAUGGGGGAAACCCUGAUCUAGCCAUGCCGCGUGAGCGAUGAAGGCCUUAGGGUUGUAAAGCUCUUUCAGCUGGGAAGAUAAUGACGGUACCAGCAGAAGAAGCCCCGGCUAACUCCGUGCCAGCAGCCGCGGUAAUACGGAGGGGGCUAGCGUUGUUCGGAAUUACUGGGCGUAAAGCGCACGUAGGCGGACUGGAAAGUUGGGGGUGAAAUCCCGGGGCUCAACCCCGGAACUGCCUUCAAAACUCCCAGUCUGGAGUUCGAGAGAGGUGAGUGGAAUUCCGAGUGUAGAGGUGAAAUUCGUAGAUAUUCGGAGGAACACCAGUGGCGAAGGCGGCUCACUGGCUCGAUACUGACGCUGAGGUGCGAAAGCGUGGGGAGCAAACAGGAUUAGAAACCCCAGUAGUCC